UACGUAGGGGGCAAGCGUUAUCCGGAUUUACUGGGUGUAAAGGGAGCGUAGACGGCAGUGCAAGUCUGAAGUGAAAGGCAAGGGCUCAACUCUUGGACUGCUUUGGAAACUGUGCUGCUGGAGUGUCGGAGAGGCAAGUGGAAUUCCUAGUGUAGCGGUGAAAUGCGUAGAUAUUAGGAGGAACACCAGUGGCGAAGGCGGCUUGCUGGACGAUGACUGACGUUGAGGCUCGAAAGCGUGGGGAGCAAACAGG
rnacentral:rRNA from 1 species